UAUGGAGGAUGCGAGCGUUAUCCGGAUUUAUUGGGUUUAAAGGGAGCGUAGACGGGUUUUUAAGUCAGCUGUGAAAGUUUGGGGCUCAACCCCGGGACUGCUUUGGAAACUAUGCAGCUAGAGUGUCGGAGAGGUAAGUGGAAUUCCCAGUGUAGCGGUGAAAUGCGUAGAUAUUGGGAGGAACACCAGUGGCGAAGGCGGCUUACUGGACGAUGACUGACGUUGAGGCUCGAAAGCGUGGGGAGCAAACAGG
rnacentral:rRNA from 1 species